GUUGGGAGGGGCGGAGGGGUGGGAUUUAUUAGCAGCAGCUAAAUUCGUCGGGAUUACUAUUAGGCCCAGAGCUUCUCAAUGGGCAUGAUCCCUGGGUGAACGGGCGUUUGGGAACAACAGCUUCCAGAGCCAGGCUGUAGUCUGUAGCCCGUGUCCUUCACCCUGAUAGCUCUGAGGCCGUGGGCUGUCGCCGUUCUUGCUGAUGCAACACAGCGAGGGCUGGGGUGAAGAAGAGUGCAUACCUACGUGUCAGAGGUAGGAGCUCCCCGUUGGCGAUAGUGGAAAGCACAGCAAAUUCAAAUCAAAGAUGAGGGGGGGUUGCUUUGAAUUGCUGUAUUCCAGACGUAUCUGAGGCAAUCUCGCUCUUCACUGCACAUAUCGCAGCAGCAAGAGCAAAGAUCACAGCGCAGCCCAGGUUUUCAUUUGAACAUGUCCAGGCUGGCACACAGUUGAGGUAAGGACAAUGUGCUUUUGUAGAUUUGAUUUGUGUCUGAAGUAGGGGCAGAACCAGGGAGAGAGUGAGAAGCCUGAAUAUCUGGUCUGCUACUGAAAAGUACAGGCCUAUGAAUAAGAUGGCGCAGCUCAUUUGGGUUAGCUGGAUGUACUACACAUUUUCUCCUAGAACUCUCUUCCCCAGCAUCUGUAACUUAUUCCUGUAAAAUGAAAAGUAGAAGGCAUAAAAUGUCUAGGUUUAAAGCAAUUGAAAGAGCUCUCACCCCCCUGCAGGAGAAAAUUUUUGAAUAUUUUCUAUUACUUGCUCAGCGUUGUUGAUGUGUUUGACUCUCUGUUACAUGCAAAGAUAAUUCCUCUACGAAGAACUCAGACAGCACUGCUAAGAAAGGCCAGUUGGUGCAUCUAUUUUAUCCCACCUCAUUCAGUGAAAGAUUAUUCCUUGUAUCUUAUCAGGAGGAAGCAGCCUUUCAAAAGCUGUACCUUGGUAAGUAUACAUGCUCCAUUUUGGCAAACAUUUGUUGUGGUUUUGAGAGGUUGUUCUCCCCUCCUCCCCCUGCUUGCUUUCAGCUCUUCUCCAGCUCAUCCAGCUACACUCAGCUGUGCUCAUUGCGUCACUUGUGCUGAAAGGGAGGCACUAAGAGGUGGAACUGUCAGGAUGGCAUCAACUGAGGAUCCAUGAACAUAGACUCGUGCUAACACGGACCUGCAACCUAUGAUAGAUUCAUGAGUCAGCAUCCUUGAUAGGUGCCUAGUGGCUUGUGGGACAGUUAAGAAUCGGGAAACGAUGCAGAAAUUCUCAUGCUUUUGUGCCCCUGUUUUUCCUCAUGCUACAAGAGACAACAGCAUUUCUUGAAAACUGCACUGCACAUGCUUAAGACAAAGAGCAGCUCCUUUUGGCUUUUUUGCAUGAUUAGCUGCAGCUCUCUGCCUAGAUCUUCCUUGUUCUGUCGAUAUGAUUUUCACAGCAGUGUGUUGUGCAUAUUUUGCAAGUUCCAGCUUGAAACUUCCUCCUAGCAGCAGGCUGUGUCAUUUAAAGGAACCCCACCCUGCUCUCCCUUGAAGAUGUGCAAUCCCAGGCUGUGUCUGAGCAUGCCUGGGGAGGCAGGUGCAGCCCGGCUGGAUCCUCAAGAUGACCUACAAAUAAACACUGCUUAAACAAAUUGGACUAACACGAACAUUCAAGAGUCAAGUAAUAAUCAAGACAGUUUCUGCUCUGUAGUCUUUACUUCAUGCUUCUCCCAUUCCCUCUCCCUCUGAUUUAUAACCCAGGAUAUAUGCCAUAGCCAUGUUGCUAUGGAAAUUAAUUACAACAUAACUUUAUAGAACUGGUUAGCAAUAACAUUAGAUAAUGAGUAGCACCUUUAUUGAAAGCGAACAUCAGAUUAAUGUUGCUUUUAAAAAAGCCCUUUUCCCACACCCCAGUGUUGCAAAUAAGGAGUUACAGGCAAUUAAAUAGUUUUUUUCUAAUAUUUUGGGUGGGGGGAAAUCUUUCAGCACGCAGCCUGCAAACACAUUUGUACAGCCAUUAAAUCUUUCCCCCAGCCCAGAACAGAUGACAAGUGCUUAAACCCAGUAAGAGUCCUUCAAACCAUUGAACCAAAUGACAAGACCAGAGCGAGGCCGUUGCUCCGAUUAAAGCAAGCCCUUUGUGCUCAUCUCAGUCCCACUCGGUGGGAACUGCAGCGUGUCACCUGCUCCACACAGUUUCCUCCUCAGAUGAGCUCUUUGUAGAGUCACCCGAUUCCUUUCCAGCACAGCGAGUCACCAUAUUAUUUGCUGCAAGCGUGGAAAGGAUCGGUCCUCGGCAGUGCAGACACAGUUACCCUUAGGAUCUUGUCUGGAUGAGCUCUACCAUUUGAUGGCACCUAUCUUGUGACCACACAAACCUCUCAGGGAUGUUCUGUUGCAGGAUUGUCACAUCUGCAGGCUGAUCCACAGCUUUCUUUUAUGUCUAAGAAUGGCUGGGCCUGGAGUAGCUAUUUCUACUAAGCUUCUUAAGCCUUUUUGGCUGUUGUUCCUUAAGGAAACCUGGCACCGGGCUUCUCUUGAUUUUUCAUUGAAGUAAAGGUAGAGUUCCUGUACAGUCGGAGAUCAUUUGGUCUCAGUUCAAGCUUUUACCCCUCAGUCUCCACUCAGGACUUUCUGUGGCCGCCUGAUCCAGAAAGCUGCUGUGUUGAACAGAGACCUCUGCCCGUGGCUCAAAUGGCACAUGACAGGGAUAUGCUCCAGUGAACAAUGCCUUCAUGUGCACAAGUUUGCGUGCCAGCUACAUAUUGCUAAAAUUUCUCUGCUCUCAGGAGGACCUUCUGCAAGCUGAUGCAGGGCUAGAGUGUUCUUCUAACAUUUUUUUUUUUGCAAGCUACGAAUCUUCCUUGCUUUUUGGAGCAGAAUGCUCCUAUCGGUCGCACAAAUUAAUUCCCCGCACCUCUGUUUCUUCCAUCAUUACUUGCAGAGGAGUGCCCAGAAUGGUGAUCAUUUUCAGCGCCAGCAUCAGACCCGGUGGAUGUCCCUCCAUCUCAUCUCUGAGAGCAGAGUUAGUGAUGUUCCCUGGUUGUUCGGUUGCAAUAAAUGAGCACAUUCCCCCUGAAGGCAGCUCAGCCCAGAUGCAAUGCCUGCACCUCUGGAGUCAGCUUCAGCACGGCCAGAACAAGAGCCAAACAGCUCCACGAUUUGUGCUGCAUACAUAGGCCCCUCUCAUUGGGGAAGUGCUCCGCACUGCCCGAUUCUCAUCAUCUGCAUUGGCAGCACUAGCAUCCAGACAUGCAGACAAACAUUUGAGGGUGAUUUUUUAGCUCCAUCAGCGCAGGGCUAAGCCUGCCCAAGCUGCCCUCUACCAGCCCAGCAACAGUCGCAGCCCACGUGUCAGCAAAUGCUGUAGGAAUCUCUUCUGCUGAGGUGCAGGCUGCAGUUCCUGGUGCUUUUGUUGACACUGCAGGAGGAGUGUCUGGUCUGCUGCUGUGUUUUUUUUCUGUAUUUUUUUUCAGCAGCAGACAAACAGCAUCUCCAUCUUUCCUCCUCACAGCAGAAGAAUCCAUUGAGAUAUAUCUGACUAUUGGUUUUGCCGUUAUCUUUUAUGCAGCUGCCCCAGUUUUCUCUUAGAAAUUCAGUCCAUUUGCCUGUCAAUGUGCUUCAUGGUGCACAAGCUUCUGGUUUACUUUCCCCAAGGAUUAUUCUGUUUCAGCAUUCCAAAUUAUUUGGGACAGCAGUUCAUCCUUCUUCGAGCACCUAGCUAGAGGGGGACGAGCUGAAGGGUCCUGUCUGCUACAGCAAGACAAACCGCACAAGCUCACCUAUUUCAUUUGCUGCCACUGCUAAGUCCUUUCUGUGAUUCCUCUGACUCCUUCCCUGCUGGGCCUGAUAAUCUCACAGAGCUGGUUUACUCCAUGUCCACAGGUCCUUAAAGGGGCAGGUUAGACUUAUCACUGUUUGCAAAUACAUCAAGGAAGAUUUGUAUAUGAUAUAUAAGUGUACAAUCUCCUACAAAAACACUUUUUUCCUGUUUGGGAAUUUGUGAGGUUAAACUGGAUACAUGUGAAGAACAAACUCUGAAAGGCUCUGAGCGCUCUCCAAAUAUAAUUGUUUAAGUGGAAGUGUGGUAGAUGUUAGGAUUAGCACAAAGUACGCUGUACCUGGGACAGAGGAACCACUGUGAUGUUUUACUUCCGCAGCUUGAAAUACCUAUCACUUACAGAUGUUCUUACAUUCUUGGCCCUUACGGCUUUCCAGUGCCUCUUAAAUUCCUGAGCUUACAGAGGUGGUGCUGACUAGCUACAGUAUUUCUUUUCCUAACAUAAACGAAGUUGUUGAGUGUGGCAAGGGAUACUUUCCGUCAGGAAAGAUCAAGAAAUGCAAAUGUUUCUCUUCUGGGAUGUGUGUCAAGGUGUUCCCGAGACCCUUAGCCUAAAAUAGAGGGUGAAGUAAGAACAAAUGCCAGAGGCAAAGGCAAGAAAGGAAAGGUAGGCAAGCUUAAUCCUUCAGCAGGCGGGCAGGAAAAAGCAAGUGAGACAUGCAGACUUUUCUGGUUUUAAAUGCUAGAGAGCUGCUCAGAAACUGCUGUGGUGAGGUCAUUUAUAAACCUGGGCGGGCAAAUAAGAGUCAAAUGGUUGCGCAGUUAUGAGCAGCAAAACUUUCCAGAGCAGCAAAGGCUGGAAAUAACAUAAAUAAGGUAGUUGGGCAAUAGGUCACGGGGUGAAGAGUCCCUCGUAACCUGUUCAUCCGUGAGUAAGAAAUAAUGAGAAGUUCUUAAGUGAGAGGCAGCAGAUAAUCAAAGGCAAGGUCGUCACAAGACUACAGCACUUUACAAAUAUCUCAGUGGUCUUUAUUGUUGUUUUCCUUAUCAGCCAAGGAUGUGCAAUUGUGGUAGGUAGUCUUUUUCAAAAUGCUUACAAUUUAAAAUAGCAAAGGAGAAAUAACAGAAGGAGAUGUAGAAAAGUUGGAAAGUGCUGUUUGAGCAUGAAAAAACAAAGCAGUAGGUCUUGACACAUGGCUGGUGAGAGGUGAAGGAGCCAGGGAGUAGCUGGCGAAAUUUAUGGUACAUGCAUUUCUCACAUUGAGGAAAUCACCUUCCUCAGUAUUUUGCCCAGUUUGAAAUGAAACGUGUCCAGAUAUUUGGAGGAAGCUCUGGCUGUCACUGGGUAGCUUACUGGAAACUACCUCCAUAAAGAUCAGCACUUUGGGUCAGAAAGGCCACUCCGGGGUGCAUAAGGAAUGGAAGCACCUUGAGCACAAUGUGGAGCUUUCUAACACCAUUACAGGUAGUAGAGAAGGUAUGCCCUCAUCCUGGUGAGCCCCUCUCAGAAAUGGUAAUGAUCCGAAUAAAGAGUUCUGGAGAUAAGCCCAUGAGAACAGUUAGAGAAGUGCAAAAAUGUCUCUGCACCACAGCAGAAGUGCAGUUAUUGUUUAUUUAUUCCACGGCUUAAGCAUUUUAGUAUGCAUUAGGCUUUGUAGGCAAAUGGGACAGGUCUGUGCCUGAGGAGUUUGCCUUCUGAGCAAGACAGAGCACAACAAAGGGAGGCACAGCGAGGAAGUGUGUUGGUACAUGUGUGAGCAGCGCGUCCAUGAGAGGCAGCAGCCACCGCCAGCAGAGGUCAGAGGCAAGGGUGUCACCAGGGCCUCCCCGUGGCUGUCACCUUCCCGUGAGCCAGGCCCUGCGGUGCUGCCGUGCAGAGAGAAGCUCUCCUUCCAUUACCUGCAGAGUGUGACGCGUCUGUUCACGGCUACGGUCCUGGAGGAGUAACCUCCAGCCUCUACAGACCGCGUUCCCAUCGGCUUCUUUUACUAUAGUAGCAGCUGCAUUUAGGAGCAAACUGUGUGCUUUUAUGCACAGAAAAGCAGCUGCGAUACACAAGCAGCAGCAGCAAAAAAUUAAAUGAAUAUUUGAAUUCAAAAGUGAAUUUGGGGGGCAUCUGUAUUGCAGUGCUUUAAUAUUCAUACACUCAGAGUGUGUAAAUUCAUUUGUGCGAAUUAAUUUUAAGCUGAAUUCUAAACAUAAAUAAAGGUGGAAUUGCACAUUUUAUUACAAAAUUCACAGUUAGCUACCAAACGUGGUACCAACCCAGUAUCAUCGGUGUGUGUGAUUAGCCAGGACCUCAGUACAACUGGAAAUGUUCAUCAGAUGGACUCCUCAUUCUGAGUGAUGAAAACCUUCAUAUUUCCUAAUCCAGUUGCAGAUAAUUUCAGAAGAAAAUAAUAUUAAUAGAAUAUGUUUUUGUUGCAUAUUACUUGCUCGAUUCAAGCAUUAUGUAUGCAAAUCAGGUAAUUUUGUACCUAAUUGCCUGAUUUGCAUGCAUAAAUGUAGGUUGCACAUGUGCAAAUGAUUUUAUUCAAAUUUAGUUUAUGCCUAAUAUGCAGAGUGGCUGGAAAUGUGAAUCUGUGUCUGUUGAUUUGAAGCACUUGUAAUUUUUGCUUAAUGAAAAAUCAGAAUUGGUCACUGGUUGUGGAGGUCAGCUGAAAUGCAGUGAGCUCCAGGGUAUGGCUUUGCAGGGGCAGUAAUCCUGGAGCUAUGCACCUUCCUCAAGAAAUUAGCAAUGAUGUGAAUGCCCAGAGAGAUAAGUAAAUAAGAAUGAUCGUCUUGCUUUAAAUGCCAGAAGAAAAUCACAGGAAAAUGUGGCACUUGUCAAGUGGAAAAAGACAAAAUCACUCAGAAAGAAAUGUGGGUUUCAAAGCCUAAGGUGGUUUAGCAGACAAUGAAACCUUAGAUGAAAAGUGUAAAAAUAUCGUACUAAAAUCUGAGUGCAUUAAAAAUUCAGAUAAUUCCAUGGCUAGGGAAGGAAUGGGACUGACAGUUCUUCUGAAUGAAGUUAUUCAACCUAGGCUAAGGACAUAAAAGCUUCUCUUGUUCCACCAUGUCACGUGCUUCACUUCUGAUCAGGAAGGGAUGGAAGAGAUGGAUCUGGAGGGUUAUUAGGAACACUUGGGCUGCAGGGCCCACUUCGAUAUGGGCCUCCCAUAUUGUACCCAGCACAGGGUCAGCAGUGCCAUUCUCAUAGGAAUGUGGAAGGACAGGACGCGUCCUUGAGGAAGGAACACAAAUCUCCCAACAGCACUUUUCACCAAGGUGUCAGCUGUAGGCUAAUAACAGUGGCAGGCAGUUUUCUCCCCGUUACUCAGAACUCCCCUGCAAAUGUUAUUUCCAUACAGAUGGGUGUAUCCCCCUAAAAUAAGCGUGUAGAGAAACUGGAAGCGAUUUGGAUGCAGCUAUGGACAUAUGGUUCCAAAUUCCCCUUUACACUGAUGUGAAGCGCAUGCAAGGUCAAGCCCCUUCCACACCCCAUUCACACUGGCAAGGCCCGUGGGUGAGGUGUGGGCGUAAGUCAGCAUUUGGCACAGAAUGCUCUCUGUCCACCUGAGAGCAGGUUGGUCACAGCUCUGCUGACACCGCUCUGGCAUCAGAUGGUCUCUAACCAACAUAGCUUCACUGGUAAGAAUUUCUAGCGUGGUUGUGUUUAUGAUGGCAAGCCAGUGCUUGUCUUGGAGUAGGUUAUUUCACUUGAGAAAGGGAGACAAGCUGGAGUAAAUGCUGCUCUCCAUGGGAAGAUGCAGCUUACAGCUGCAGGAGGGGAAGGUGAGGAGGGCCACAUGCCACCCCUGCGUGGAGCUGGUGGCAGCAGGGGCCACGGCUCUGUCGCUCUGCACCUGGGAGUCCGCCCUGCCACUUCGCUCUGCAAGCUCUGCUGCAUCCGCAGUGCUCUGCUGCUUACCUGCCCUGCAGCGUUGCUCCCCAGCGUGGAUUUGACUCUGAGCUCUUGUUUUGCUCCCAGGAGUACACAGCAGUUUUGAUAUAAAUGGGAAUUAAACUCACUUUGGUUUUUUUGCCUACUGUUCUAUUACUGGGAGAGAACACGACUUGACUAACACCAAGUCUUGCCUCUUUGUUUGCGUGCUAACCUCAUCAGAGCAGUACACGCCGAGCUCCGUGCAAAAUAAAUAAAGCCAAACCCCGGGCUCACUCCCAACUCGCUAUCUGAGUGUUUAGCUAAAGCACAACUUCUGUUACACUGGAGAGAUGCUGUGUUAUUUGACUAAGUACUGUUAUUUCUACUUAUUUUUUAUUCCAUCACAGAGUAAAGACACUUCCUAUUUUCCAAUUUUCCAGUAGGAGUGAAAAAUACUGCCUGAUAGCUGCAGAGAUUGAAGGUUUCUGAUUUUUCACGGAAUGUGUGUAGCUCGGGUAGUAUUAACUUCCUGCUCUACAGCUUCCCAUUCCUCCCUGGCUGAGCAUGCUGGAUUGAUUCCAUUCCUGAUCUCUUCUCAGAGCCCUUUGCUUCGGGUGUUCUCUGCAACUGGGGCAAUUACUGCCCAGCGCAGAGGGCAGCAGCACUGUGAGCAGAGCGGGAGCCCCAAGCCUGUCUCAGCGGCACAGAGCGGUGCGGACUGCAGUGCCCAUCAGCCCAGGCACUAGUAGGGUCUGGGGGACAGGGAGCAUCCGUGUGUCAUGUGUGGGGUGAUGGGCACUAUUGCUGUCCUCACAGCUACAGCUCUGGGAAGGGAUGGCACUGGGACUGCACCAGAGCCGGACACCCCUGCCGGAAUCCCAGAAGAGAAAAAGCAUUUGCAUUGUUUGUCUUCUUAUUGUCACUUUGGAGGUUACCUUCAUUUCUUGACACAGAUCCAUACUGUAUUUUUGCAGAGAGAUACAGUUUUCACCCGGUUGCCCUUUUUCCUCUUUUUGUAAUCCCUGGUUGGCAGUGAGAGUGGUCUGACAGAUCUGUGUGACUGAUAAGAGAAAUGAUUGCCUAAGCGAGAAUUGUUUCUUGAGUACAUCCCUCCCCUUGGGUUAAAUAUAGGUUGCAGCAUCCCAGCAUAAUGAAAAGAUCGGAAAGCAUUUACACACUGGUAUAGUUUAUGCCUUGUAAUAAUUGAGUAAAACAUUCACGAUUGUGAAAAUCAUACCUGUAAAGACAAGCUUAGUCACUUUCCGGUUAACGAGUCUGUAUUUUCGGUCAGCUUCUCCCUUACUGUAUUCAGCACAUGCACUAAAACAUAUCCCAAAUAAACCCAAUCCUUCAGCAUUUGUGUUUUAUCGCCUUGUGAUUUGCUGCCGGCCGCAGCAUCCUAGUUUUUUAUCUUAGCGUGUGCACUGCAGUACUUGCAUAGUGUUGUGCUGCAGGAUUGCUCAGCGUGCUGGACCGGGGAUGUCCAAUCCUUUUGAUUAUAAAAAAUGAAAGCAAAUCUGGAGAGGUUUUACCACUGUGAAAAACUAGACCCGUGUUGUAGCGUUGUCACAAAGGGACACAAUUCAGAACACAAUCGACAGUUGCCAUAAAUCUUCACUUUGUAAUCUGAAAUCAUCUGUGAUGCUAGGAUGAAAAUCUUUAGGUUCAGAAAGCGGUUGAAAUUCGAGCUGUGAAAAUAAAGCCUGCGAAACAUUUCUAAUUCCAACAUAGUCUCCAUAUCUUUUCUACAUACGCACGUGUAUGCACACGCAUUCCCAACCUGGCAUAUAAGUUCAGGAGCUCACGCAUCUGCGAGCUCACACACACGUUCACAGGCUCCCUCACGCCGAACGUGUUCUGCAGGAUGGAUGGCACACGGGGUAUUUCUGAAGGCAGAACGAGAAGACUGCAAAUCGACACUUCCACCCACUAAUGAAAAAAAAGCCAAGAAAACCUCAGUAGAGAUUGAGUUUUAUAAUUAAUGCUGAACAAUUUUCAUUGACAAAGCAAAAAGAAGCAAGUGGAAGGCUGAUUUAAAUGUUGAAUGAUUAAUGCGUGGCGAGGCGGCUGAGGAAAGAGACAAAUUCAGGAGCAGCUAUGGAAAUUUAUGUAUGAGAGAGUCAGCACCAUAUUCUGAUCUCAGUUACACAGUUGUAAAUCUGUUAUCUUAAUGGAAGUAUUCAGCUUUUAUAUUUGCAUACCGUAAGUGAAAAUAGAAUUUAACCCAGAAUGUGUUCGCAAUUGUGUAUUUGUGGGACCGAGAAGGGAGAGAUGCGUAUGUUUGCCCGCGAUAAGCUGCAAAUGCACGAGAGUUUUUGUCUCUCUCAGUGAGGAACGGGGGGACCGGCGUGCAUGUGUGCGUGUGUACGUGCGUGCCAGCUGCGGGGCUGCCCGCCAGCGAGUGGGAGGGUGCGAACGUGUUUGUUCCUCGACUCCCCGGCCGACUGAAAAUGGCUCCUGGAAAUGCCGCUUUAGAUUAGAGAGCGACGGCUGGAGAGGUGGAGAUUUCAUUACCUUCCUCUUUGUGUGAUGUUUUGGACUCGGUAAUGUAAAAGCAGAGCUAUAAAUAA